GGAUUCAGUGAAAGAGCUGUUGAGAGAACUGGAGAGUUCAACUCCUCAUUUUGUCAGGUGUAUAAAACCGAAGGAGGAACGGAGCACCAGGUUGUUUGACAAAAAUGUUGUUGGUAAACAAUUGAGAUAUAAUGGAAUCUUGCAGUUAGCGAAAUUUAGAUAUCACGAACUAUCUGUUCGGAUUCCAAAGAAGAAUUUCAAAAAAAGGUACCAAAACAUCCCCCGGAACUGCAUGGAGAGUCUCGAAGAGAAGAUUUGGAAAGUGCAUAUGAAAGAAGACUUCCAUCUGAAAUGAAAGCUUGCUUUCAAGCUGGACAAACCAAGGUUUUCAUGAACGAGGGUGUAGAUAUAUACACCGAGAAGGAAUUAAAGAAGAAGAAGAUGCCGAAAGAAGAGGUGAAAACAGAUGAAGAUCAAUUUAGAAGAUUGAGAAGAGGAGGACAAUCAAAGACGAGAACAAUAGAAGAGGACGAAGUGAUAUCAACAGGGAGUGAUCUGGAAAAUGAAGUCAAUGAUCAAACAAAUGUUAAACAAUACCAGUCAAACGACAAGGAAAACAACGAAACGGUAUAUGUGCAUAUUGGAUACGACUUUAUUUGCUUCUUGGGGAAAACGACUAUAACCGAGCUUGGUUUUAUAUUUUUAUCAAAUAACUUCCAUUUUUUACAUUGCUUUGCUAUUUGCAAAUGUAUUUUUUACACUGUUCAUUCCCAUUCUUUAUCAGCAAGAUUAAAACAUAUUGUCUAUCUUUCAUUUUCAAGGAUUGA